rnacentral:lncRNA from 1 species
UAAAGUAGCCCACCUGGGCGUUGAUGCUCCACUUUAACCUGCUGACAUAAUAGAUAUUUAGUAACAAAGUCGGCUACCUCCUUUUUUAUUCCGCUCUACCAAAACUAAAGUUGCAUACUUUGAUACAUUUAGUACUUCUGGGAUAUAUGGUGAACUUGGAGCUGUGAGCCUCUAUCAUGAUGUCUUUUUUUAGUUCACUGUCAUUUGGAACACACACUAUAUCCUAAACCUGAGCAAUCCAUCAGCAAAGACUU